UUGAACUACAUAUUUAGAAGUAGAAAUCUUUUAAAUCUUUUAUACAUACCAGCUACAUUUUUAAAAAUUACUUUUGAAAAUAAAAUGUAAAACUUUCUUUCAUAAUCUUUUAUUAACCAACUUACCAAUAUCAAUAUUCUCUCUUCCUAGAGACACUAAUGAUAAGAAGAGGAUUUCUCUGUAUAAACUCCUAUAAAACAAAUAUGUUUUAAAAGUCAAUGGGCAAAUACCAUAAAAACACAGAUGCAUUUUUUUUUUAAUGGUGAAGACAUUAAGUUCUGUCAUCUAGUUAACAGUAAUAUACCUAUGUCAAUGUCCUGGUUUUAAUAUUACAUUACAGUUAGUUAUAUGAGGUGUCACAUUUGGAGGAAGCUGUGUGAAGGCCACAUUGAAUUCUGUACUAUUUUUGUAACUUCCUGCAGGUUUCUAUUCCAAAUUAAAGUUAAAACAUAGUUAAUGGGCAUAAAGCUUCACACUAGUAACAAUUAAAAAUGGCUUAACUUUAUUACAUUUCAACAAUACAUAACUGUUUUAACUCUAAUUUCUAAUUAAAAUUUACAAAAGCA
rnacentral:antisense_RNA from 1 species